rnacentral:rRNA from 1 species
UACGUAGGUGACAAACGUUGUCCGGAUUUACUGGGCGUAAAGAGCGCGCAGGCGGUCGAUCAAGUCGAGUGUGAAAGCCCCCGGCUCAACUGGGGAGGGUCAUUCGAUACUGAUCGACUCGAAGGCAGGAGAGGGUAGUGGAAUUCCCGGUGUAGUGGUGAAAUGCGUAGAUAUCGGGAGGAACACCAGUGGCGAAGGCGACUACCUGGCCUGUUCUUGACGCUGAGGCGCGAAAGCUAGGGGAGCAAACGGG